rnacentral:rRNA from 1 species
UGAGGAAUAUUGGUCAAUGGACGAGAGUCUGAACCAGCCAAGUAGCGUGCAGGAUGACGGCCCUAUGGGUUGUAAACUGCUUUUACGCGGGGAUAAAGUGCGUGACGUGUCGCGCAUCGCAGGUACCGCGUGAAUAAGGACCGGCUAAUUCCGUGCCAGCAGCCGCGGUAAUACGGAAGGUCCGGGCGUUAUCCGGAUUUAUUGGGUUUAAAGGGAGCGCAGGCCGCCCGAUAAGCGUGUUGUGAAAUGUACCGGCUCAACCGGUGAGUUGCAGCGCGAACUGUCAGGCUUGAGUGCACGGUAAGCAGGCGGAAUUCAUGGUGUAGCGGUGAAAUGCUUAGAUAUCAUGAGGAACUCCGAUUGCGAAGGCAGCUUGCUGCAGUGCGACUGGCGCUUAGGCUCGAAGGUGCGGGUAUCAAACAGG